CAGUGGUGGGGUGUGACCGUGUUGUGGUCUGAAAGGCCACCCCGCUGAGUCCUGCCUUUUCCUGUCUAACCUUGAAUUUCUCUGGUAAACUUUCUUUAUUGUUUUUUGUUUGUGUGUGUGUGUUUAAAGUAAACUUGUGUUCUUGACUGUAUUUCAGUAUUUUCCAGCCUUAUCAACCUUGUGUUGUUAAACUAUUCCCUGGGCACCAAUGAUAGCCCCAUUGUUCAUCUGUUGUUUUUAAACAGCAUCUCACAGCUCCGUAAUGUAGGCACUCUUGUUUGCCUUGUGAUCUUUGUAACAUAACGUGGGGGGGUAUAUUUGGGAAUGACUGCAAGCGUUUCUUUCUCCAUCUGUAUGCAACUGGCUCCAAUUAUUAAUCCUUUCUU
rnacentral:lncRNA from 1 species